GGGUGAUUAGCUCAGUUGGUGAGAGCAUCUGCCUUACAAGCAGGGGGUCAUUGGUUCGAAUCCAAUAUCACCCACCA
rnacentral:tRNA from 1 species